GAUGAACGCUAGCGGCAGGCUUAAUACAUGCAAGUCGUGGGGCAGCGGGGCAGCAAUACCGCCGGCGACCGGCAGACGGGUGCGGAACACGUACACAACCUUCCUUUAAGCGGGGCAUAGCCCAGGGAAACUUGGAUUAAUACCCCAUAGUAUAUUGGAGAAGCAUUUUUCUGGUAUUAAAGAUUUAUCACUUGAAGAUGGGUGUGCGGCUGAUUAGGUAGUUGGCGGGGUAACGGCCCACCAAGCCUACGAUCAGUAGCUGAUGUGAGAGCAUGAUCAGCCACACGGGCACUGAGACACGGGCCCGACUCCUACGGGAGGCAGCAGUAAGGAAUAUUGGACAAUGGGCGGAAGCCUGAUCCAGCCAUGCCGCGUGAAGGAUUAAGGUCCUCUGGAUUGUAAACUUCUUUUAUAUGGGACGAAAAAAGGGAAUUCUUUCUCACUUGACGGUACCAUAUGAAUAAGCACCGGCUAACUCCGUGCCAGCAGCCGCAGUAACAC
rnacentral:rRNA from 1 species